rnacentral:piRNA from 1 species
UGAUAAUCGACACUAACUAUGUCAGGGCC